UGCGUAGGCGGCGUCGUAAGUCAGAAGUGAAAGCUCACAGCUUAACUGUGAAAUUGCUUUUGAUACUGCGGUGCUUGAAUUAGGUUGAGGUUAGCGGAAUGUGACAUGUAGCGGUGAAAUACAUAGAUAUGUCAUAGAACACCAAUUGCGAAGGCAGCUGGCUAGGCCUAUAUUGACGCUCAGGCACGAAAGCGUGGGGAGCGAACAGGAUUAGAUACCCUGGUAGUCC
rnacentral:rRNA from 1 species